rnacentral:rRNA from 1 species
UACAGAGGUCUCAAGCGUUGUUCGGAUUCAUUGGGCGUAAAGGGUGCGUAGGCGGCGCGGUAAGUCGGGUGUGAAAUCUCGGAGCUUAACUCCGAAACUGCAUUCGAUACUGCCGUGCUUGAGGACUGGAGAGGAGACUGGAAUUUACGGUGUAGCGGUGAAAUGCGUAGAGAUCCGGAGGAACACCGAAGGCGAAGGCAGUGUCCUGGCGAGUGACUGACGCUGAGGUGCGAAAGCCAGGGGAGCGAACGGG